rnacentral:lncRNA from 1 species
CAUCUUGAAACUUAGUGUUAUUUAUAUAGGUUAAUUACAUACAGUUUUAUGUGAACAUAUCGAACAGCAAAUAAAUUUGUACAAAAAAUAAAUUUUCAUAUCUAUCUCUACAAAAGUCGUAACGUUUUUAAAUAUAAUUAACCAUAAGUAAAAUACUUAAUCCUGUUUACUAGUGAAUAAGGUAAAUUGAUCUUUUUACUCCUCUUAUAUUAUUGGAUUAAUUUCAUACAGGUCCCUACAAAUAUAGUAAAUUAUGAAUAUAUUUUUACAAAUUUCAACUUUUAUACGUUGUCCUUAUAAAACUCUUAAUGUUUUUAAUUAUGUCUCUCUGGUUUGAUACAUUUAAAGCACUAUUUAUUUUACAAAUAAAAUAAUUUUUUUGCCAUCACAAAUGUGUUUCUCUAAAAGUCGCAACCGUUAAUUGAAGAGGGAUAAAAAGGUUAAUUCAUCUCAUUAACUAACUAAAGUUAAGUAUUUUAUCUAUGGUUAAUUAAUUUUUUUCCAACAGAUGCUUAGGCAGGGACAUGUUUGAAAAUAUCAGGGCUUUUACAGAGACAACAUAUGAAAGUUGAACUUUAUAGGGAUAUGUUUAUAAUUCACUAUAUUGUAGGGACCUGUAUGCAAUUAAUCCUAUAUUAUUUGUGAUUGUGAAAAGGAAGAAAAUAACCGUUGGGAAUUCUUUCGAGAACAUUUCUGCACAUAUUUGUGAUGGCAAAAGUGUCAUUUCACUUAUCUUUUGUUAAAAAAUAAAUCGUGCUAAAACGGUAAAAAAUGAGAGGGGCAAAUAUGAAUAUUAUUGGAUUUUUGUAGGGAUAAAUAUAAAAAGUUAAACUUUUAGGGAUAUAUUUAUUAUUCGAUAUAUUUACAUAGAGUUGUAUGAAAUUAACUCUAUUGAUGUAGUGUUCCUGAGCUUUGGAUAGGAUUGGCUUUAGUAUUAGUGACUGGUCGAUAUCUCUGGAGAGUGUCGGACUGAGUCGGAGUCAAUUCUGCACGAAUUGGAUGCAGAAUUGGACUCGGCGCACUCAAAUAAGCAAAAC